rnacentral:sRNA from 1 species
AAAAAGCCCGCUUGUGCGUCGUUAUGCGUCGACAGAAGCGGGCUUGAUGCGGAGAAGCGUGGGGCGGUGCGGUGUCGCCACCGUUUCGCUUUAGCUGUUUGGGGUUCGCGCCGAUGAAGGCACGGCCCCGCGUCCGCAAGCUGAUCUCAAAUCGACGCAAGCCCUGAUGCUAACACGGUGCAGACAAGGCUUGC